CGCGGCGCCCGGAAGUGGGCGGGGGCGGGGCGCAGGGAGCGGGCGGCUGCGCACGUGGCGGCUGCUCCACGUUGGAUGCGGGAAAUGCAACAUGAGUGGGCUCUACUAACUUGCAGAAGAAGGUAGCUUGUUGCCACAUGUGGCUAAAAGGAUAUGAGAGUGGCUUUAUAGGAAGAGCAGAUGUAGAGUGUGAGAUGGUGCAGAUAGAUGAUCUGAACUAAAAUACGGAAGCUGAUGGGAAGGAGGAUUAUGAACUAGCGGCAGCAUUUUCUGCAUAGCCCGUGAAGGCUUGUACAUCAGUGAGCAAACCCUGUCACUCUCACAUUUUGGCCUUGCUGCACAGAGGUUAGGGAGGAUACAGCAACAACACUUUGCACUUAAGUGUUUUUCAUCUGAAUAUCUCAAUGUGUUUUACAUUGGUGAGUAAAUAUUACUGCCCUCAUUUUACAUGCUGUGAAACUACAAUGCAGAGAGAAGUUAUGACUGUCAUCCAAUAAAAUACUGAAACACCUGCCUAGCUUUCAGUACAUGAGUAAUGAUGGCUCACAUGGUUGAAGUGAGCCACAUGGUUAAAUAUCUUGCUGGACUGGGUCUUGAAUGACUUCUCAAUGUCACCAUGCAGAAUUAAUGCUAGAACCUGGAUCUUCUGUGUGUCAGUUCUAUGCCAUCUUUCUAGAACACAAUACAUUAUAAUAAUAAACUGAAAACUGAUAAUUUACGGGAGGAGAUAAAAGGUGAAGAAAAUAUAAAAUCCAAUUAAAUGGAUUUGUAUCCAUUGUAAUGGAUACGAAUUCACCAUUCCCCAUAGCACUUGUAUCACAUUUCCUGGAAUGGUGAAUGUCUGGUGGUCAUUGCCUGGAAGAGAAUAGCCUGUUCGUUGUGGUCAGAGAAAAUCCCAGAUUGAAAAGAGCAAGAACAUGAUGUACAAAGUGACUAGACUGCUACAGAGAUAAAGCUAUUCCCUCAAGAACUUUCCUGGGAAUGGUGAUACAUUGUUAAUGCAGGAUGUUACUGGUAACUUAAGUUCAUCAAAUGUCAUUAUUUUAAAUGUUUCCUAUUUUUUGGAAAUUGAUAUAUGUAAUAAAAGCACUACAAGAAA